UACGAAGGGUGCAAGCGUUACACGGAAUUACUGGGCGUAAAGCGUGCGUAGGCGGUUUGUUAAGUCUGCUGUGAAAGCCCUGGGCUCAACCUGGGAACUGCAGUGGAUACUGGCAAGCUAGAGUGUGUCAGAGGAUGGUGGAAUUCCCGGUGUAGCGGUGAAAUGCGUAGAGAUCGGGAGGAACACCAGUGGCGAAGGCGGCCAUCUGGGACAACACUGACGCUGAGGCACGAAAGCGUGGGGAGCAAACAGG
rnacentral:rRNA from 1 species